ensembl:snoRNA
UGGCCAAGGAUGAGAACUCAAAUCUGACUGGACUUGCUUCCAUACUGAUGGGUUAAAGGAUUUACCUGAGGCCA